rnacentral:rRNA from 1 species
ACGCUCGACACCUACGGGAGGCAGCAGUUGGGAAUAUUGGACAAUGGAGGGAACUCUGAUCCAGUGACGCCGCGUGAAGGAAGAAGGUCUUCGGAUUGUAAACUUAUUUUAUCAGGGAAGAAAGAAAUGACAGUACCUGAAGAAGAAGGACCGGCUAACUACGUACCAGCAGCCGCGGUAAUCUGAGCGGGCUGGCAAGGC